UACGUAGGGAGCAAGCGUUGUCCGGAAUCAUUGGGCGUAAAGCGCGCGUAGGCGGCCUCAUAAGUCCGCUGUGAAAGUCAAAGGCUCAACCUUUGAAAGCCGGUGGAUACUGUGAGGCUAGAGUACGGAAGAGGCGAGUGGAAUUCCUGGUGUAGCGGUGGAAUGCGCAGAUAUCAGGAAGAACACCCGUGGCGAAGGCGGCUCUCUGGGACGGUACUGACGCUGAGACGCGAAAGCGUGGGGAGCGAACAGG
rnacentral:rRNA from 1 species